rnacentral:rRNA from 1 species
AUUGAACGCUGGCGGCAGGCUUAACACAUGCAAGUCGAGCGGAGAUGAGGUGCUUGCACCUUAUCUUAGCGGCGGACGGGUGAGUAAUGCUUAGGAAUCUGCCUAUUAGUGGGGGACAACAUUCCGAAAGGAAUGCUAAUACCGCAUACGUCCUACGGGAGAAAGCAGGGGAUCUUCGGACCUUGCGCUAAUAGAUGAGCCUAAGUCGGAUUAGCUAGUUGGUGGGGUAAAGGCCUACCAAGGCGACGAUCUGUAGCGGGUCUGAGAGGAGGGUACGCCACACUGGGAGUGAGACACGGCCCAGACUCCUACGGGGGGCAGGAGGGGGGAAUAUUGGACAAUGGGGGGAACCCUGAUCCAGCCAUGCCGCGUGUGUGAAGAAGGACUUAUGGUUGUAAGGCACUUUAAGCGAGGAGGAGGCUACUGAGACUAAUACCCUUGGAUAGUGACGUUACUCGCAGAAUAAGCACCGGCUAACUCUGUGCCAGCCGCCGCCGUAACAC